GAACAAAUUCCUCUGGAACCUUACUUAGAGAUUCAGAUCCCAGUAUUUGUUCCCGAGGAAUCCAUCCAUCAAUGUUCAUUAAAUCUAACCAGUGGCCAACUAUAUCCAAGCAUAUGCUGAUAUCCCAACGCCAGAUCAACAGUUGAUGAAAACCUUCAUCCCAUAGAAAUCCCCUUGGAAAGAAGGGUCGACUUGGAACUGCUGUGUAAAGCUCAGCUGGCCAAUAUGCGAGAAAAUUAUCAUGAUCUUUAUGAUUAGAAUUUCUAGCAUAUGCAAUUUUUGAUUGACCAUAAAAGUAGCCAAUACCUCCCAACAUAUUGGCAACAGCAAC
rnacentral:misc_RNA from 1 species